rnacentral:rRNA from 1 species
GAUGAACGCUGGCGGCGUGCCUAAUACAUGCAAGUCGAACGAAGAAUGUAGCAAUACUUUCUUAGUGGCGAACGGGUGAGUAACGCGUUGGUGACCUGCCCCAAAGUGGGGGAUAACAAUUCGAAAGAGUUGCUAAUACCCCAUGUGAUCCUCCGGACUAGAUGCCGGUUGAUUAAAGGAUUUAUUCGCUUUGGGAGGGGCCUGCGUCCCAUCAGCUAGUUGGUAGGGUAAUGGCCUACCAAGGCUAUGACGGGUAGGGGGCCUGAGAGGGUGACCCCCCACACUGACACUGAAACACGGGUCAGACACCUACGGGUGGCAGUAGUAGGGAAUAUUGGUAAUCUGGGAAACCGGGAACCAGCAACGCCGCGUGUGCGAUGAAGGCCUUCGGGUUGUAAAGCACUUUUUGAGAGGAUGAGGAAGGACAGUACUCCCAGAAUACGCCUCGGCUAACUACGUGCCAGCAGCCGCCGUAACAC